rnacentral:rRNA from 1 species
AUUGAACGCUGGCGGCAGGCCUAACACAUGCAAGUCGAACGAGUGGCGGACGGGUGAGUAAUGUCUGGGAAACUGCCUGAUGGAGGGGGAUAACUAAUGGAAACGGUAGCUAAUACCGCAUACCAUCGGAUGUGCCCAGAUGGGAUUAGCUAGUAGGUGGGGUACAGGGUCACCUAGGCGACGAUCCCUAGCUGGUCUGAGAGGGUGACCGGCCACACUGGAACUGAGACACGGUCCAGACUCCUACGGGAGGCAGGAGUGGGGAAUAUUGCACAAUGGGCGCAAGCCUGGUGCAGACAUGCCGCGUGUAUGAAGAAGGCCUUCGGGUUGUAAAGUACUUUCAGCGGGGAGGCGUUACCCGCAGGAGGAGCACCGGCUAACUCCGUGCCAGCCGGCGCGGUAAUUC